rnacentral:rRNA from 1 species
GCUAACGUUCGUCGUGGAGAGGGAAACAACCCAGACCGCCAGCUAAGGUCCCAAAGUCUAUAUUAAGUGGGAAACGAAGUGGGAAGGCUUAGACAGCUAGGAUGUUGGCUUAGAAGCAGCCAUCAUUUAAAGAAAGCGUAAUAGCUCACUAGUCGAGUCGGCCUGCGCGGAAGAUGUAACGGGGCUCAAAUAUAGCACCGAAGCUGCGGCAUCAGAAUUUAUUCUGUUGGGUAGGGGAGCGUUGUGUAAGCGGAUGAAGGUGGCUCGAGAGGGUUGCUGGACGUAUCACAAGUGCGAAUGCUGACAUAAGUAACGAUAAAACGAGUGAAAAACUCGUUCGCCGGAAGACCAAGGGUUCCUGUCCAACGUUAAUCGGGGCAGGGUGAGUCGGCCCCUAAGGCGAGGCUGAAAAGCGUAGUCGAUGGGAAACGGGUUAAUAUUCCCGUACUUGGAUAAACUGCGAUGUGGGGACGGAGAAGGUUAGGUUAGCAGACUGUUGGAUGUCUGUUUAAGGUGGUAGGUGGAAGACUUAGGCAAAUCCGGGUCUUUAUAAACACUGAGAGCUGAUGACGAGGUCUUAAGGGACUGAAGUAACUGAUACCCUGCUUCCAGGAAAAGCCACUAAGCUUCAGGUUUAUCUAAACCGUACUGAAAACCGACACAGGUGGUCAGGUAGAGAAUACUCAGGCGCUUGAGAGAACUCGGGUGAAGGAACUAGGCAAAAUAGCACCGUAACUUCGGGAGAAGGUGCGCUUACAGUAAUUGUAGUCCCUUGCGGAUGAAGGUGAAGUAAGUCGAAGAUACCAGCUGGCUGCAACUGUUUAUUAAAAACACAGCACUCUGCAAACACGAAAGUGGACGUAUAGGGUGUGAUGCCUGCCCGGUGCUGGAAGGUUAAUUGAUGGUGUUAUCGAAAGAGAAGCUCCUGAUCGAAGCCCCAGUAAACGGCGGCCGUAACUAUAACGGUCCUAAGGUAGCGAAAUUCCUUGUCGGGUAAGUUCCGACCUGCACGAAUGGCAUAAUGAUGGCCAGGCUGUCUCCACCCGAGACUCAGUGAAAUUGAAAUCGCCGUGAAGAU